AAUAUUUUAAGGUUUCUACCUUCUUAAUAUCUUCAAUAUUAUACUUUAAAAUAAGCUAUUAAAAUA
rnacentral:tRNA from 1 species